rnacentral:rRNA from 1 species
ACGUAGGGACCAAGCGUUGUUCGGAUUUACUGGGCGUAAAGGGCGCGUAGGCGGCAAUUCAAGUCAUCUGUGAAAUCUCCGGGCUUAACUCGGAACGGUCAGAUGAUACUGCUUUGCUAGAGUACAGAAGGGGCAAUCGGAAUUCUUGGUGUAGCGGUGAAAUGCGUAGAUAUCAAGAGGAACACCUGAGGUGAAGACGGGUUGCUGGGCUGAUACUGACGCUGAGGCGCGAAAGCUAGGGUAGCAAACGGGA